GACGAACGCUGGCGGCGUGCUUAACACAUGCAAGUCGAACGGUGAAGCUCCAGCUUGCUGGAGUGGAUCAGUGGCGAACGGGUGAGUAACACGUGAGCAACCUGCCCCUGACUCUGGAAUAAGCGCUGGAAACGGCGUCUAAUACUGGAUACGAGAAGGGUCCGCAUGGGCACUUUCUGGAAAGUUUUUCGGUUGGGGAUGGGCUCGCGGCCUAUCAGCUUGUUGGUGAGGUAAUGGCUCACCAAGGCGACGACGGGUAGCCGGCCUGAGAGGGCGACCGGCCACACUGGGACUGAGACACGGCCCAGACUCCUACGGGAGGCAGCAGUGGGGAAUAUUGCACAAUGGGCUAAAGCCUGAUGCAGCGACGCCGCGUGAGGGAUGACGGCCUUCGGGUUGUAAACCUCUUUCAGCAGGGAAGAAGCGAAAGUGACGGUACCUGCAGAAGAAGCACCGGCUAACUACGUG
rnacentral:rRNA from 1 species